ensembl:antisense Gm42839 predicted gene 42839
CUCCUGCUCAGACAAGCCAUCAAUGAUCUCAGAAACCUCAUGCUCACUGCGGGCAGCCGACAUGGAGAGCCCACUGCCACGCUGGCCCACCCUGCUGGAAACCAGAGGGACACAGUCAGGACCAGCCGUCCUACUGACAGGCUAAGUCAAGACCAUGGGGUAGAACAUUCUAGAGGCAGGGCCAUUCCUCCUCCACUGCCUCAGCCACCUUCCCCUCCUGAGCUCAUCUGGUACCUCACCUUGCACCCGAACUACUCGGGGCAAGAUUUGCUUACCCAAGACUAAGGAACAAGGCAGCCCUGGUGCCAAUCCAGACAUUGCCACUUCUCUGUGGGACAUGGGACCAAUGGGCUAACCUCUUGGCCUCAGCUUCCCUGCCUGAAAUAUGCGGCUGGAAAACACAACCACCUCCUGGGACCAUGUCCACCGAGGGAGGAGGAAGCGGCUGUGGUGGGAAGUUGAGCCUUGAACUCGGUUCUCGAAUCCCAUGCCAGGAGCCACAUGCACAGUGGGCACUUGGUGAUU